rnacentral:lncRNA from 1 species
GAGAAGUUAUUUUCUUCCUAGUUUCUUAUUGCUCUACUGGCUGCUUUAAUUCCUGGCAGCGUUGCAUUAAUGUUAAACACUGGUCCCAAGCACCGAGUGGCAAUUUAUCAUCUUUCUUGGCAGGCUUCCUGCUUCAUCGUGCACCUGCCUCCUUGAAAGAAAACAAGACAUCAGAUACUUAUUCAAAUAAUGCAAUAGCUGAUCAGCAGAGUAUCUACACAAUGUCUGCUGGAAUAAAAUCACCAAGUACUCUCAGGAUUGCUGUAUCUGCUCCUGGAAAUACAUUGCAAUAAACAACUGGG